GACGAACGCUGGCGGCGUGCUUAACACAUGCAAGUCGAACGGUGAAGCGCCUUCCUUUUUGGCGGGUGUGGAUGAGUGGCGGACGGGUGAGUAACACCUGCGUAACCUGCUUCUUUCUUCUGGAUAACCGCAUGAAAGUGUCGCUAAUACGGGAUACUCUCGGUCUGUCGCAUGAUGGGUUUGUGAAAGCUAUUGCUUCGGUGGGGGACGGUCUCGCGGUCUAUCGGUGUGUUGGUGGGGUGAUGGCCUACCAAGGCGGCGACGGGUAGCUGGCCUGGGAGGGUAGGCGGCCAUGGAGGGGCGACGACGCCGCGAAGACUCCGACAGGAGGCAGCAGUGGAGAGUAGUGCACAGGGGGCACAAGGCUGCUGCAGCAACGCGGCGUGGGAGAUGGAGGCCGGCGGGUUGUGACCCUCUUUCGGGAGUGAAACGGGCCUGGCUCGUUUGUGGGUGGGUUGACGGUAGCUGAAGAAGAAGCACCGGCUAACUACGUG
rnacentral:rRNA from 1 species